UGAUCCAGAGUACCACGGGACACGUGAAACCCUGUGGGAAGCAGGAGGGACCACCCUCCAAGGCUAAAUACUACCUAGUGACCGAUAGCGUAUAGUACCGUGAGGGAAAGGUGAAAAGAACCCCGGGAGGGGAGUGAAAUAGAACCUGAAACCCUGCACUUACAAGCUGUGGAAGCACAUUUCUUGUGUGACCGCGUACUUUUUGUAGAACGGGCCAACGAGUUACGUUAAGUAGCAAGGUUAAGCACUUAAGGUGCGGAGCCGUAGCGAAAGCGAGUUUUAACUGAGCGUUCAGUUACUUGACGUAGACCCGAAACCGGGCGACCUACCCAUGAGCAGGAUGAAGCGAAAGUAAAAUUUCGUGGAGGUCCGAACCCACGAGCGUUGAAAAGCUCGGGGAUGACUUGUGGGUAGCGGUGAAAUUCCAAUCGAGCCCGGAGAUAGCUGGUUCUCCCCGAAAUAGCUUUAGGGCUAGCCUCAAGGUGAGAGAUACGGAGGUAGAGCACUGAAUGUCCUAGGGGGUAUUGCACCUACCGAAGACUAUCAAACUCCGAAUGCCGUCAUCUUAUACUUGGGAGUCAGACUGUGGGUGAUAAGAUUCAUAGUCGAAAGGGCAACAGCCCAGAUCGUCAGCUAAGGUCCCUAAAUGUAAGUUAAGUGGUAAAGGAUGUGGGAUUGCACAGACAACCAGGAUGUUGGCUUAGAAGCAGCCACUCAUUCAAAGAGUGCGUAAUAGCUCACUGGUCGAGUGAUCCUGCGCCGAAGAUUUCCGGGGCUAAAACUUACUACCGAAGCUACGGCAUCAGUAAUGAUGGGUAGGGGAGCUUCCCAUACGGGUUGAAGCAUGACCGUAAGGACAUGUGGACAGUAUGGGAGUGAGAAUGUUGGCAUGAGUAGCGAGAUGUGGGUGAGAAUCCCACAGGCCGUAAACCCAAGGUUUCCAGGGGAAGGUUCGUCCGCCCUGGGUUAGUCGGGACCUAAGCUGAGGCCGAAAGGCGUAGGUGAUGGACAACAGGUUGAUAUUCCUGUACUACCGAUAACCGUUUGAGAGAUGGGAUGACACAGUAGGAUAAGCUAAGCACACUGUUGGUUAUGUGUGCCCAAGCAUUGAGGCAGUCAAAGUAGGUAAAUCCGCUUUGAUAAUGCUGGGAUGUGAUGGGGAGCGAAAUUUAGUAGCGAAGUAGCUGAUUUCACACUGUCAAGAAAAGUCUCUAUCGAGGUUAAAGGUACCCGUACCGCAAACCGACACAGGUGGGUGAGGAGAGUAUCCUAAGGCCAGCGAGAGAACUGUUGUUAAGGAACUCGGCAAAAUGACCCCGUAACUUAGGGAUAAGGGGUGCCACCAUCAGGUGGCCGCAGAGAAUAGGCCCAAGCGACUGUUUACCAAAAACAUAGGUUUCUGCUAAGUCGCAAGACGAUGUAUAGGAGCUGACGCCUGCCCGGUGCUGGAAGGUUAAGGGGAUCUGUUAGAGCAAUCGAAGCAGUGAACUUAAGCCCCAGUAAACGGCGGCCGUAACUAUAACGGUCCUAAGGUAGCGAAAUUCCUUGUCGGGUAAGUUCCGACCCGCACGAAAGGCGUAACGAUUUGGGCACUGUCUCAACAACAGACUCGGUGAAAUUGUAAUUCCGGUGAAGAUGCCGGAUACCUGCGACAGGACGGAAAGACCCCAUGGAGCUUUACUGUAGCUUGACAUUGGGUCUUGGUACUACAUGUACAGGAUAGGUGGGAGGCUUUGAAACCAGGACGCCAGUUUUGGCGGAGCCAUCCUUGGGAUACCACCCUUGUAGUACUGGGACUCUAACCAUAGGCCAUGAAUCUGGUCUUGGGACACUGUCAGGUGGGCAGUUUGACUGGGGCGGUCGCCUCCCAAAAGGUAACGGAGGCGCUCAAAGGUUCUCUCAGUACGGUCGGAAAUCGUACGUAGAGUGUA
rnacentral:rRNA from 1 species